UUACCGGACCGACAGCAAUUAGUGAAGGGCCAGGCUGAAGACUUUGCCGGAUUAGCUGAGAGGUGGUGCAUGGCCGUCGUCAGUUCGUACUGUGAAGCAUCCUGUUAAGUCAGGCAACGAGCGAGACCCACGCCCACAGUUGCCAGCGUACUCUCUGGAGUGACGGGUACACUGUGGGGACCGCCGCUGCUAAAGCGGAGGAAGGGAUGGGCAACGGUAGGUCAGUAUGCCCCGAAUAUCCCGGGCUACACGCGAGCUACAAUGGUUGGUACAAUGGGUAUCUACCCCGAAAGGGGACGGGAAUCUCCUAAAACCAAUCUUAGUUCGGAUUGAGGGCUGCAACUCGCCCUCAUGAAGCUGGAAUCCGUAGUAAUCGCGUUUCAACAGAACGCGGUGAAUACGUCCCUGCUCCUU
rnacentral:rRNA from 1 species